rnacentral:rRNA from 1 species
UACGUAGGGUGCGAGCGUUGUCCGGAAUUAUUGGGCGUAAAGAGCUCGUAGGCGGUCUGUCGCGUCGAUCGUGAAAACUUGGGGCUUAACCCCGGGUCUGCAUUCGAUACGGGCAGGCUGGAGUUCGGUAGGGGAGAUCGGAAUUCCUGGUGUAGCGGUGAAAUGCGCAGAUAUCAGGAGGAACACCGGUGGCGAAGGCGGAUCUCUGGGCCGAUACUGACGCUGAGGAGCGAAAGCGUGGGGAGCGAACAGG